AAGCAAUCGGGUAAUUUGGGACCUCAAGCAGGAGAGCAUUCUGAACAGGGAGCCUCAAAUUCACAAUCAAAAAGCAGAGAAGAGCAGUAAAUGGAGCAGAGAAGCCCCCGAGGGCCACGGUAGGACACGGAGACAUGGAAGGGAGGCUUCAGAAGGUUCCUGGAGAGCAGAGCGAGGAAGACUAAUUCCCUGGCUGCGGUUUUCUCUGGGUCCUGGAGGAGAUGUGCUUUAUCUAUUUCUGCUUCUGGCCUAUCCUCCUCCAACCCCUGGGGAAGUAAAGCUUCCCCCUUCUCAGUAGACCUCCCCUCCCCUGUGCAGGUGGCCCUCCGUCACCAUGCCUGGUGGCUGGGAUUCCACCCUGGACCGGGGAAGGACGGAAGGCCUGGGGUCCAGCCCCGUCAUGCUAAGACUAAACAAUGACAGUCCUAACGGGGCCCUCUUCAGACAGAAUAAUGCCACCAGCCUGGCCGGCUCAGGAGGUGGAGGUGGGACAGUUUCCUGCAAAUGUGCGAGCCAACCACCAUUCCCACAUCUCCAGGCUCCUUCAAAAGAGCCCUCAGACCUAACAAUAGAUCCAGCCUUGAAGCCUCUGC
rnacentral:lncRNA from 1 species